rnacentral:rRNA from 1 species
CCGUAAACGAUGAACACUAGGUGUCGGGGGAAUCGACCCCCUCGGUGUCGUAGCCAACGCGUUAAGUGUUUCCGCCUGGGGAGUACGCACGCAAGUGUGAAACUCAAAGGAAUUGACGGGGGCCCGCACAAGCGGUGGAGUAUGUGGUUUAAUUCGAUGCAACGCGAAGAACCUUACCAGGGUUUGACAUCCUGCGAAUCCCUUGGAAACUAGGGAGUGCCUUCGGGAGCGCAGAGACAGGUGGUGCAUGGCUGUCGUCAGCUCGUGUCGUGAGAUGUUGGGUUAAGUCCCGCAACGAGCGCAACCCACGUCUUUAGUUGCCAGCAUUCAGUUGGGCACUCUAGAGAGACCGCCGGUGAUAAACCGGAGGAAGGUGUGGAUGACGUCAAGUCAUCAUGCCCCUUACAUCCUGGGCUACACACGUACUACAAUGCUACGGACAAAGGGCAGCAAGCUCGCGAGAGUUAGCAAAUCCCAUAAACCGUGGCUCAGUUCAGAUCGUAGGCUGCAACUCGCCUACGUGAAGGAGGAAUCGCUAGUAAUCGCAGGUCAGCAUACUGCGGUGAAUACGUUCCCGGGCCUUGUACACACCGCCCGUCACACC